rnacentral:rRNA from 1 species
AAACCAGCACCUCAAGUGGUCAGGAGGAUUAUUGGGCCUAAAGCAUCCGUAGCCUGCUCUGUAAGUUUCCGGUUAAAUCCAUUAGCUCAACUAAUGGCCUGCCGGAAAUACUGUAGAGCUAGGAAGUGGGAGAGGUAGACGGUACUCGGUAGGAAGGGGUAAAAUCCUUUGAUCUAUUGAUGACCACCUGUGGCGAAGGCGGUCUACCAGAACACGUUCGACGGUGAGGGAUGAAAGCUGGGGGAGCAAACCGGAUUAGAAACCCGAGUAGUCC